GAGAGUAUCAAUCUUCCUCAGAACGGGUCAACAGAGUCCUGAAACACUCAACACACACACUGGAUUCGCCUGAAAGGAUAAUUUGACCCAAAAGGGAAAAUCCAGCCCGAAAAUCAGGCUGGCACGCGCUAAUAAAACCCGUCGUUCGCUCCUGCAGCACGUGAUCCGCCGUGAUAUCGUCCUGAAACACACGUUCAGUGACACAUUACGACGGCGUGUGACGAUGCAGCCGAGGUCCCACGUUCUGUGAAAUGCGGCUCUGCCUACAUCAAAAUAACAUAACAGCGGGCUUAUGUGCAAACAGUAAAAAGCCCCGUGCCACGCACUGUGCCCCCUGCGUCUCACACCGCCCACGCACCCACCCACCCAAUCAGCCGGCCGGCCGUCCUGUGGACCGCCCUGUCAGGAGAUGAAGAGGCAGUGGAAGGAAGAGGGCAGUGGUAACACAGCUGCCCACCAUGACCUGUACAAAAGAUAGCACCCAUAUACUUUCUGACAGCCAGAUUAAUGAAACCCUAUAGGAGCUCCUCUGUAGGCCCCCCAAAAGCCUGACGGAGACAGAAUAGU